rnacentral:rRNA from 1 species
UAAUACGGAGGGUGCAAGCGUUAAUCGGAAUUACUGGGCGUAAAGCGCACGCAGGCGGUUUGUUAAGUCAGAUGUGAAAUCCCCGAGCUUAACUUGGGAACUGCAUUUGAAACUGGCAAGCUAGAGUCUUGUAGAGGGGGGUAGAAUUCCAGGUGUAGCGGUGAAAUGCGUAGAGAUCUGGAGGAAUACCGGUGGCGAAGGCGGCCCCCUGGACAAAGACUGACGCUCAGGUGAGAAAGCGUGGGGAGCAAACAGGAUUAGAUACCCUGGUAGUCCACGCUGUAAACGAUGUCGACUUGGAGGUUGUGCCCUUGAGGCGUGGCUUCCGGAGCUAACGCGUUAAGUCGACCGCCUGGGGAGUACGGCCGCAAGGUUAAA